CUGAAAUUGCGCCAAAAAACUUCUGGCUUGUUUGGGAUAUCUGUCCAGCUCAAAAAUGGCUCCAGCAGUUAGAAACAGGUGAUGGCAGAAUGGCUUUAUGGAAACUUCAAGCAUAUGCCAGCUUAAUUUUCUUCCACAAGGCUGUGAGACCAGUUUGCAGGUGAUGCUAAAGUUUUCAGAUCUACAGCACCAGGUGACAUACAGCCAACACAGUGUCUAGCUUAUUGUCAAAAGAAAUGUCUGUGCC